ACAAAGCAACCGGGAACGAUCAAGGUCACCAAACCGACCAUCAUUUCCGAACUAACAAUUGUUCUUUGUCUGAAAAGUUGAAACAGGUGUAAUCCAAGACAACCGUGCAAGAAGCAGGUGUCGCCCAAAGAAGAAGGCACAUGGGUACAAGAAAUAUUUUGGUAAUAAGGAAUUCACUCGAAAGGUAAGUUUCCACGAAACUCCCUUUUAUCUUCUACUAAAACAAGAAAAUUCAAAAAAAAAGAGGUCGCUUAGUAUUCUCGAACUUUGUCCCCAGCCAAUCAGCAUUAGGGUUUUAAACCCUGAACUGAACUUUUUCCUUUAAUCAGCAUUAGGGUUUUAAAACUCUAAACUGAACAUUUUUCCAUUCAGCCAGCAUUAGGGUUUUCAACCCUAAACUGAGCUUUUCAAUGCAAUCAACAUUAGGGUUUUAAACCCUAAACUGAAUUUUUCCUUUAGUCAGCAUUAGGGUUUUAAACCCUAAACUGAACUUUUUUCCAUUCAGCCAGCAUUAGGGUUUUAAACCCUAAACUGAGCUUUUCUAUGCAAUCAGCAUUAGGGUUUUAAACCCUAAACUGAAUUUUCCCUUCAGUUAGCAUUAGGGUUUUAAACCCUAAACUAAACUUUUUUCCAUUCAGCCAGCAUUAGGGUUUUAAACCUUAAACUGAGCUUUUCCAUGCAAUCAGCAUUAGGGCUUUAAACCCUAAACUGAAUUUUCCCUUUAGUUAGCAUUAGGGUUUUAAACCCUAAACUGAACUUUUUCCCUUCAGCCAGCAUUAGGGUUUUAAACCGUAAACUGAGCUUUUUCCAUUCAGCCAGCAUUAGGGUUUUAAACCCUAAACUGAGCUUUUCCAUGCAGUCAGCAUUAGGGUUUUAAACCCUAAACUGAAUUUUUCCUUUUAGUCAGCAUUAGGGUUUUAAACCCUAAACUGAACUUUUCCUUUAGUCAACAUUAGGGUUUUAAACCCUAAACUGAACUUUUUCCAUUCAGCUAGCAUUAGGGUUUUAAACCCUAAACUAAG
rnacentral:lncRNA from 1 species